UGAACCUACGGUAGGAUCAUUG
rnacentral:rRNA from 1 species